rnacentral:lncRNA from 1 species
CAAAACUCAUAUUGCAGGCAAAAACCUGUGAAAAAUAGAUUUAAAAAAAUGUGAAUUUUGUGACCACUAGAUGUCAACGAUCUUUAUAAAGUUGUUUGAAGCGUCUAUGAUAAACAGAGAGCAAAUUAGAAUCCAAGGAAGUUGACAUGUCAUCACUUCAUUUUUUUGCGCCUGCGCAUAAAUCUGAGAAACGUGAGUUUGUCAUCAUUUUUUAUCUAGACAUAGGAUAGGUUGUGUGAAAAUAUUACUGAUGUUUAACGUUAAAAAUGGACCAAAAGAUUAAUGCUAAACAACAUUUGACAUGUUUGAACGAACAUAAAUAGAUUAUUUACUAGGUUUUUUUAGCUUUUCGGCGUGAUUUUACCAGCCCCACAACCACGUUUUGUGGGAGCAUAAUGAACGCUAAGUACUUGGUGUUAUUUGGACAUAAAUUAUUAACUUUGUCAAAAGAAACCACAUUUGUUCCGGACCUGGAAUGCCUUCCGGACCUGGGAUCCUGCCUUCUGAUGGAGAUAAUCAAAGGAGUGUCAUCUGAUGGAGAUUGACAAAGGUGAAUUACAGGAGAAGGUGAUUCACUCAGUACAACCAGGAGACUGGGUGUGGAUCCAGUCCCUGAGGAGAAAAGACGGGAAGCAGCCCCGUUGGGAAGGCCCAUACCAGGUUCUGUUAAACCACUGCCUUUGCCAUUAGAAAAGCUGAGAGAGUCACUUGGGUCCACGUUACCCACUGCAAGGAGGUAUGUACACAUAUGAACACUGUUGAUCACACACAGAGUUAGGAGAAGAACCGAUACCAACAGGGUCCGGGGGUUACCUCCUUAACGAAGAUUUCCUAUCCCGACCGUUCAUCACUGUGUGUGCUCCUAGAGGUGUGAGUAUGGGGUGGUACCAAGCAGAGAGACUAAGGGCAGGAGAGGUUUGACGGUUUUUGGGAAGAGUAGAGACUCUGAGCUGUAUCAUAGUCUAAUCUUUCUGAUACAUUCAGAUCCACCAUCUUCUGGUACUAAUCAUAGGAUACCAAUCAUAGGAUACCGUUGUCAUUGAGAAGAAGUAGAAGAUAAACUAUAUAAUACUCUGAUGAGUGACAUACAGAAUAAGGAAUCAAAGAUCAAGAUGUAGAAUUUAAGGUAAACAUUAAACAAUUUCCUGGGGAAGCAGACAACUGUACAGGAAUUGGGCUUGGCCAGAUUGAAGUACUCAGCCAACCCACCUCGGUUCACCUAAAUUAAAACCACAGCUGCUGCGACAACAACCACAGCUUAUUCUGACAUAACCACAUCUGCACCAACAACAACCACAGCCGCAGCUCCGACAACAACAUCCGUCCCCACAACUGCCGCAGCUGCUCCCACAACAACCACAGAUGCACACAGAACAACCACAUCUUCUCAGACAACAGCUACAGCAUCUCCAACGACAACAACAACUUCCUCUACAACAAUGACAGCUUCUACAACAACAACAAAAAGCUGAUCCCACAACAACCACAGAUGCUGCACAAACAACCAAAGUCGUCCCCACAACAACCACAGCUGCACCCACCCCAAACACAUUUUCUCUGACGACAACUACAGCAUCUCCCACAACAACAACAACUUCCCCUACGACAAUCCCAGCUGUUCCCACAACAACCACAGCAUCUCCCACAACAACCACAGCUGUGGCUACAACAACGACAUCCGUCCCAACAAAAGCCACAGCUGCUCCCACAACAACAGCUGCUGCAACAUCAAUCACAGCUGUACUCACAACAACCACAACAACUACAACAGAUAAAUACAGCAUCUACAGCAUCCACAACAGCUUCCUCUACAAUCACC